AUAUGCAAGCAAUCUGAUCAGGAAGACGGUAGAGCAGUUGAACCAUGAAAGAAAGCAAAAAGAGGAGGAAUAGUAUUUUCUCUGUACUGUAACUCCUACCUUAAUUCCUCUUUAUAAUUUCAAGCCUUUGGACAAGCUACUCUUUCUUGCCUUCUCUUUUUUUCUUGUCUUUUUCUCUUCUUUUGUUCCCCUUGGUGGUAGGAUGUAUAAAAAUACUGUGGUUUUUUAAUACUGUUUUGAGAAAUAAAGAGGUAUUAUGGGUAGAGGAUUGUGCAAGUGCUUAUUUGCUAACAUAAAUGGAAGUAUUAAACUUAUUUUCAGAAAGGCAGAAUUCUUAGUAUUCCUUUGAUGCUAAGGAAAUGUACACCUUCAAAAUUAAAAACUCGAGAAUCAGCUUUGAAAAAUCAGUAGAUCUCGAAACUAUCUUGUUGCAGUUUCAGUUUCCUUUUGGUUUACGGAAGUCAUGCACAGAGCCUUUGCAUUAUUGAAUAUUAGUCCAGCUUUAUUAAUUAAAGUUGUGUGUAUUUUAACAUGAAACUUCGUCUAUAUCUAAACAUAUCAAAUUAUUUCU